UACGGGGGGGGCAAGCGUUGUUCGGAAUUACUGGGCGUAAAGGGUUCGUAGGUGGCCAAUUAAGUCAGACGUGAAAUCCCUCAGCUCAACUGGGGAACUGCGUCUGAGACUGGAUGGCUUGAGUGCAGGAGAGGAACGCGGAAUUCCAGGUGUAGCGGUGAAAUGCGUAGAUAUCGGAAGGAACACCUGUGGCGAAAGCGGCUCACUGGACCAUAACUGACGCUGAGGCGCGAAAGCUAGGGGAGCAAACAGG
rnacentral:rRNA from 1 species